rnacentral:lncRNA from 1 species
GGGGCCCGCAGGGCAUCAUUUGGCCUCGUCACGUGCCUAUGUGCGGGAUCCCCAUGCAACCGCUCCAAAUUGCUCAUUUUCUAGCGGAUGAAUGUAAUCACUGCAAUGAAGAAAGCGGUUCGAGUCAUAUUCUCACAUGCUUGGCAUUUUGUGACAAUGUAGUCGGCAAUAGCUCUAAUCCUUUCUCGAAUGCUACCUUUUUCCUGAAGUAGCCGACCGAUUUGAUGGUUUCUGCUUCUAACACCUGAAUGUUUUGAUGGCUUUGGUUUUGCAGUUGUUGCAUUUCCUCCUCCAUCCGAGCCAUUAGAGCAUAAAAAUGUUCCUUGUCGGCUUUAAAGUCAUUGGCUUGCUUAGCCACCUCACUCUCAAUGGUGGUUAACUUUCUUCUCAGGUUGGUUAUUGUCCCUUCAUAUUUUCUCUUCAUUUGUUGCAGAAACUAUGUCAUCCCCUCUACAUUCUUUGUCAAUUGGCCCCGGACCUUUGCUAGAUUGGCAUUAGACUUUCCUAUAUCAUCUUGACUCUCGAGUGCUUAUUCCUUAGACUGCUUAUAAGUCUUUUGUCUACUCGGCUUCUUUCUAGGUUUCUAGCUGCUAUUCUCAUUUUCUGGAUUAGAGCCUUAGGCUUUAUUUUCCUGAGUUAGCUUUUUCUUUUCCCCUUCAUCUGCGACAGCUUGCAUACUUUUGGCAAAUUCGAGGUCCCUGAUUUAUCCUUCCAAGACCCCACCUAGUGGGAGUAUACUGGGUAGUUGUUGUUGUUGUUGUUGUAGCCCUGUAGCAUUCUUCUUUUGCCAACCAGCCCCAUUGACCUUGCUAGUUAUUGGUAAAUUGUUGAACCUGGGAUCUCUUAGCAGGUCUUUUAGGAAUCUAGAAUCAUUUACCGAACCAAACAGUGUACUUCGGGUCCACUUCACCUCUAGAUAGAUCUCGCACCAUGGUCUUAGGUUCGAGAAAUCUACAUUCAUUCCACACCUGGAAUUCUU